CGCGGGGUGGAGCAGUUGGUAGCUCGCCAGGCUCAUAACCUGGAGGUCGUUGGUUCGAGUCCGGCCCCCGCAAC
rnacentral:tRNA from 1 species